AAGUCCAAAAAUUGAUGCAAAAACUGUUAGAUUAAUUAAUUUUUAAUUAGUUUUAAAAUUCCUUUCGUACUACUUAAAACUUUUUCUAAAUUAGGAUAGAAACCAACCUGAUUCUCAUCGGUCUAAACUCAGAUCAUGUAGGAUAUUAAAAGUUGAACAAACUUCUCAAUUUAACUUCUUCAUUAAAUUUAUUAUCCUAAUCCAACAU
rnacentral:rRNA from 1 species